UUCGCAGGAAAGGAGAUCGGUGGUAGAUUGUGAUUGUUUGCAUUAAUUGUAAUUAAUCAUGUUCCUUUUUUUCUGAGUA
rnacentral:pre_miRNA from 1 species